AGAGUUUGAUCCUGGCUCAGGAUGAACGCUGGCGGCGUGCUUAACACAUGCAAGUCGAACGGAGCGCCGGACACGGACUAUUUCGGUAGGAAGCGUGCGGAGGCUUGGUGGCGGACGGGUGAGUAACGCGUGGGAUAACCUGCCGCAUACCGGGGGAUAACAGCUGGAAAACAGCUGCUAAUACCGCAUAUGCCCGCAGUGCCGCAUGGCACAGCGGGGAAAACUCCGGUGGUAUGCGAUGGGUCCGCGUCUGAUUAGGCAGUUGGCGGGGUAACGGCCCACCAAACCGACGAUCAGUAGCCGGCCUGAGAGGGCGGACGGCCACACUGGGACUGAGACACGGCCCAGACUCCUGCGGGAGGCAGCAGUGGGGAAUAUUGCACAAUGGGGGAAACCCUGAUGCAGCGACGCCGCGUGAAGGAAGAAGUAUCUCGGUAUGUAAACUUCUAUCAGCAGGGAAGAAAACAGACGGUACCUGACUAAGAAGCCCCGGCUAACUACGUGCCAGCAGCCGCGGUAAUACGUAGGGGGCAAGCGUUAUCCGGAUUUACUGGGUGUAAAGGGGGCGCAGACGGCCAUGGCAAGCCCGGUGUGAAAGGCAGGGGCAUAACCCCUGGACUGCACUGGGAACUGUCAGGCUGGAGUGCCGGAGGGGUAAGCGGAAUUCCUGGUGUAGCGGUGAAAUGCGUAGAUAUCAGGAGGAACACCGGCGGCGAAGGCGGCUUACUGGACGGCAACUGACGUUGAGGCCCGAAAGCGUGGGGAGCGAACAGGAUUAGAUACCCUGGUAGUCCACGCCGUAAAC
rnacentral:rRNA from 1 species